rnacentral:antisense_RNA from 1 species
GAACACAAAAUGGCGACACGUGGUUAGCAUUCGUCGCCAACGAGAAAUUGGGGUCGGCCCGAAAGCUCUAGAAUGCACCCCCCUUCUUCCCCGGGGCCUUCCACCUCCGCGAGUUUUAUGACUUAAAAAACCCCACAGGCUGGUCUGAAGAGGAAGACAAACAUAAAGAUGAAGUGCUUAAUUCAAGGUCACACAAUGUCGGGGAUGGACCUCCAGAUUUCCUUACUGGUGAGACGUGGUCUUGUAACACAGUGGUUAAGAAUGUGACUUUGGAGCCAGCCUGCUAGGGGCUGAAUUCUGACUCAGCCAUUUACUAACUGUGUGACCUUAGGGAGGAGGACCUGGUUGAUAGAAGAAUUUAUCUCGUAGUCUUAACAUCCACUGUAAUUCCAAACUUUGAGGACGAUAGAGAUCAGUGGGCUUUGACUGCCCAGCAUGCAGUCUCCAUUCUUAGGUGGGUUCCCAAGCCUGUAAAAUGUAAGCCUUAUGCUGCUGAGGGCCAUCUUGCCACCCUGAGGGAAACGCUGCCUGAGAAUGAAACCAGC